rnacentral:sRNA from 1 species
UUUAGCUCGUUUACUCCCGAUUAAGCUUUCGGGUUUAUGACUAGGAACUGUCCUUGUUUGGACACCGAGUGGCUCCUGUCCACUCUGUUUGACGCCUCCCUGUUAUCAACUUUCAAAGCCGCCGGUUUUCCGGCGGCUCUUUUUUU